rnacentral:rRNA from 1 species
CAAUAGCGUAUAUUAAAGUUGUUGCAGUUAAAAAGCUCGUAGUUGGAUUUCUGGCAGGAGCGUCCGGUCUCACACUCAGUGCGGGAACUUGGAUGUCUCUGGCCAUCUUUGGGGAUAUCCUGUUUGGCAUUAAGUUGUCGGGCAGGGGAUACCCAUCGUUUACUGUGAAAAAAUUAGAGUGUUUAAAGCAGGCUUAUGCCGUUGAAUAUAUUAGCAUGGAAUAAUAAGAUAGGACGUAGGUACUAUUUUGUUGGUUUGCGCACCCACGUAAUGAUUAAUAGAGACAGGCGGGGCUAUUCGUAUUGCAUUGUCAGAGGUGAAAUUCUUGGAUUUCUGCAAGACGAACUACUGCGAAAGCAUUUAGCAAGGAUGUUUUCAUUAA